rnacentral:rRNA from 1 species
UGGGGAAUUUUGGACAAUGGGGGCAACCCUGAUCCAGCCAUGCCGCGUGAGUGAAGAAGGCCUUCGGGUUGUAAAGCUCUUUCGGACGGGACGAAAUGGUUACGGUGAAUAACUGUGACUGAUGACGGUACCGUAAUAAGAAGCACCGGCUAACUCCGUGCCAGCAGCCGCGGUAAUACGGAGGGUGCAAGCGUUGCUCGGAAUUAUUGGGCGUAAAGGGUAGGUAGGUGGUCUCGUUUGUCUGAGGUGAAAGCCCUGGGCUUAACUCAGGAAGUGCCUCAGAAACGGCGAGACUGGAGUCCUGGAGAGGGUCGUGGAAUUCCCGGUGUAGCGGUGAAAUGCGUAGAGAUCGGGAGGAACACCAGAGGCGAAGGCGGCGACCUGGACAGGUACUGACACUAAACUACGAAAGCGUGGGGAGCAAACAGGAUUAGAUACCCCGGUAGUCCCUGAGCGGGCUGGCAAGGCGCAU